UCCACAAUUUGAUGAAGACCUUAACUGAACAAAAUAUAUCCUUGGAAUAGGGUCUGUAUGGAGGUGGGAGAGAGACUUUCUACAGAAUAGGUGUGUUUGCAGAGGGAGACUUCUACAGAAUGGCUCUCUUCUGGCUCCUUAAAUAAAUCUCAGCUAAACCCCAAGUAUAAAGACCAUACAUUUUCUCCUCUGAACCCUGGGCGGAUGGUGUGGGCCAAAUUUACCCAUGAACUAAGCAGCUGUAAAUGCCAG